rnacentral:rRNA from 1 species
GGGAGCUUGCUCCCUGAUGUUAGCGGCGGACGGGUGAGUAACACGUGGGUAACCUGCCUGUAAGACUGGGAUAACUCCGGGAAACCGGGGCUAAUACCGGAUGGUUGUUUGAACCGCAUGGUUCAAACAUAAAAGGUGGCUUCGGCUACCACUUACAGAUGGACCCGCGGCGCAUUAGCUAGUUGGUGAGGUAACGGCUCACCAAGGCAACGAUGCGUAGCCGACCUGAGAGGGUGAUCGGCCACACUGGGACUGAGACACGGCCCAGACUCCUACGGGAGGCAGCAGUAGGGAAUCUUCCGCAAUGGACGAAAGUCUGACGGAGCAACGCCGCGUGAGUGAUGAAGGUUUUCGGAUCGUAAAGCUCUGUUGUUAGGGAAGAACAAGUACCGUUCGAAUAGGGCGGUACCUUGACGGUACCUAACCAGAAAGCCACGGCUAACUACGUGCCAGCAGCCGCGGUAAUACGUAGGUGGCAAGCGUUGUCCGGAAUUAUUGGGCGUAAAGGGCUCGCAGGCGGUUUCUUAAGUCUGAUGUGAAAGCCCCCGGCUCAACCGGGGAGGGUCAUUGGAAACUGGGGAACUUGAGUGCAGAAGAGGAGAGUGGAAUUCCACGUGUAGCGGUGAAAUGCGUAGAGAUGUGGAGGAACACCAGUGGCGAAGGCGACUCUCUGGUCUGUAACUGACGCUGAGGAGCGAAAGCGUGGGGAGCGAACAGGAUUAGAUACCCUGGUAGUCCACGCCGUAAACGAUGAGUGCUAAGUGUUAGGGGGUUUCCGCCCCUUAGUGCUGCAGCUAACGCAUUAAGCACUCCGCCUGGGGAGUACGGUCGCAAGACUGAAACUCAAAAGGAAUUGACGGGGGCCCGCACAAGCGGGUGGAGCAUGUGGUUUAAUUCGAAGCAACGCGAAGAACCUUACCAGGUCUUGACAUCCUCUGACAAUCCUAGAGAUAGGACGUCCCCUUCCGG